rnacentral:tRNA from 1 species
GCCUUAGUGGUGUAACGACAGCACACUCGACUCGUAUUCGAGAAGUCCAGGUUCGAGUGCUGGAGAGAGUA